UCUAAGUCUCUAUUCCCACUCUUAUUUUAGGUCUCAGCUAUAUUAUUAGCCCAGUGCUGCCUAUUCAGAUUUAUAUUUUGUACGAAAGACAGAAGGAUUUGAAUAGAAGUGAGCGGUCUUUCACUUAUGGCAACAAAGGAAGACACUGAGAGACUUCGGUGCAUGUUUUUAAUGGACCGUCUCCCAUAUAUCUGGAUAUCUGUAAACUGUCUGUUUGAGACUUGGAGAAAAGAAGGACCAACUGUUUGUUAGUGGAGGUGAUCUGCCCUGCAAAUAAAAGGCAAAAUGAGAUGAACUGGGCACCUGUGCAAACCAGAGCAGUGAUUGCAGCAGGGCGCAUGUAUACCUGGCACUGUACUGCACGGAUGUCAGGCUUAAAAUACAAACACCGAGGUCCUAAUUAAAACGUGCGUGUUGUUUGGCAACCAUAGCUUUUGAAAUCAAAGAUUCACAGGAUCAGGCUUUUCUCUCAGAUCUCGUCUCCUCUGCAUUCCAAGUGAACUGACUGAUUCCUUUUGGAUGAGAUUUGGGCAUUGAUUGAAAGUGCAGAAGAAGAGUAAUAUCACCUCGGGUUUACUUCUGAGGAAUGCAAUAAAUAGAUAAUACUCCAUGCCUUAUGACUCCAACCCCAAUGACUCCAACCAAAAAUUGAUGUACGAAUCUACGAAGAACAGCCUGGAAAAGAAUAGCGCAGGGAACACAGGCCCAUCCAGAAGGCUGUAAUGCCUUGCUUUUUCCAUCCUUGCUGCUGAUGCUGGUAAUACCAUCAGUGUGAAUUUCAGAUCAGCAGAUAUAAUUAAUGAUGGACUAAAAAUCAGCAUCUACAUAUCAAGACCCAGGAGCAAUAUGUUAGCAUCCAGUUUGCACCAAGUGAUGUUGAAAUAAUGCCUAAGAUGAACCCCGUCAAGUUUAAGAUCUUCAAGGAGACCAUGUUCUUCAAAUAUGCGAUGGGUGAUCCAUAAGGUUGUUGAUUUUACGUGCAGUAUGUAGAGAGAUACAAAACACAAAAACUGUAUUUCAAAUCAUAAAAAUCUCAAUAUGUAUACAAGCGUCUUUGUAUUGCUAUAUGCUAGAGUGUAGGCUUCAGCCUUCAUUUGCAUUUCAGAAUGAAAAUAGACACAAAGAAACCUGAUAUCACAACUCUCUCGUUUGCUUGCUAGUUUUUUGUUGUUUUUUUCCUUCAGUUCUUUUUCUCCCUCCCAGUCUUUCUUUGUUUUUAAAAGCAGGCAUUUAUAUUUAUAGACCUGCCGCAGGUUUUCUCCUUUAAAAAAAAUUGCCUCCACUAAAGCUAACACCAAUAAUAGUCGCAAGGGAAUCCAAACAGUAGAGUAACUGUGCAGAAAUACAGGGGGAUAUUUAAACCAAGCAAUCCUUGAAUGCCAUUUUGGUACUUUCUAUAAUCUGUUUGCAUUUCUGAGAUCUUAUUUCCUUUAAGAGGAUGUUGAGGAUUUCUGCAAGUUUAAAAUAAAUCAUAACUUAAGAAGAAAGUAACAAACUGUAACUGUGUUUCCUUUUAAUUAAGCUCUGCAGCUUCUCAUCUGAUGUGCAAUUUCUUGACAAUAAUAAGAGAGAGUUCGUUGCCAAGCACUUGGAAUGAUUGUUUAUUCCUUUCCUUCACUCAUCAUGUAGGCACAUGUAGAGGAAAGAUAUGGUUGGACUAAGGUGGAUGCUAUGAAAAACGUGUUUGUUCACUUGGAAAUUGGAAUUUAUUUAUAAACCCCACAGAUGGAUCCUGAUUCAAUUUCAAAAGCUUUUGUGAAUAAUUAAACAAAUGUGUUUGAUGGUAAAUUAAAGAAUAAAUUUCAGAAGCGAAUUUCUGUUUA